AAGCGACGGCGAGCGCAAGCGACGGCAAGCGCAAGCGUCGGCGCAGCGAGACUUUUGUGCUUGUCUUGCAAGGUGGAAGAGACUAUGUACGAAAUGAAGAGCCGGCGGACGGAGGCCACCAGACCCAGGUGAAGGAAGGAUUCACCCAAAGAAGUGAUGAGGAGCCUGAUGCAUGACUGGCCAAGGCUGGCCAGAGGGUUGCCGGGGCAGGGGAUGGGACGAGCGCCAGCCUGACCCGAGAGGGACUGGGCCGCACCCACAAGACCAGGGAGGGGGCAGUUGUGCGAGGCGGAAGACGAGUCCAACACCGGCCGGAGCAGACCCGGACCUUGGCCCGUGACAUGCGGCGAGGCCGGGAGGGCCAAGCGUCCAGCCAGCGUUGAGGGGGAGUAUGACUCUUUUUCUUUUGCGCUCUCCCUCCCUCCUUCCCUGUCUGUUUGAAUAGGGUAACUAGCAGCACGCACGGGCAAUUGGGUUGCUGUGACCCUCUAGAUACGAAUUGGCAAAGUAGACACCCCUCCCUCCCUUCCUCCCCUCUCUCUCUCUCUCUCUCGCUCUCUUUCUCCGAUGCGCCCGGCAGUACCUGCAUGGCCUGGUGCACUCAGGGGGGAACGUGGCUAUACCUUGCCCUUUGUGGAAUACCAGGGUAUAAUGUCUGCCCGACUGGGUCCCAGUGUCGUCGACGGUGUCGAGGUCGAAGAGAUUCUCCGUGACGCCCUCCGUGACGUCACGUUUUCCUUUUUUUUCCCCCUCGGGGCCAAGCCAGCUCUCCUGGCCGGUUGUGCUUUAGUGCGCACCAAAGCCUCUUCUCAUCUCCCCUCGCUUUCUCCCGCCCUCCCUCCCUCCCUUUAAGCAAGGGGUUAGACCUUUCAUAACCCGGAUGGCUCCAAUGCGGGAGGGCCGUACGAGACGUGCGCCAGCCCAUGCGUGCCGCCAGUUGCCUGAUUCAAACUUGCCUUCGUCAAGGUCGCUAGUGGAAAUGUUCCUCUUGCCAAAUAUGUCUGCCCUUCAGGAUUGCCGGGGCAGCGGAUCGGACGAGUGCCUGCACCGAGAGGGACUGGACCGGACCGCGAUACCAGAGGUUGCGCGAGGCGGAGGAUGAGUCCAAACGUCGAGCACCGGCCGAGAGGGGACCCGACCAUCGGCCGACCUUCGCCCGUGACGAGCGGCCUACAACGGACGGACGGACGGACGGGUGCAGAUGCGGCGAGGGCAAAGUGCCCAGCCAGCAUUUAAGGAGAGUAUCACUGUUUUUCCUUUGGUGCUUUCUUUCUUUCCCUCCCUCCCUCCACUUUUUCACUGGGUGUGCACACUGGCUGUCUGCAUGAUGCCUCUUUCUUUCUCAGCGCUGCGUCAUUUUGCAAUAUUGUUUUAAUGUUGUGUUUUUUUUAAUACAUGAAGUGAACUGUUUGGACUGUAAUUGUGUGUGUGUACCUCUGAACCUGAAUUAAACUGUGAACUGAA